rnacentral:rRNA from 1 species
GACGAACGCUGGCGGCGUGCUUAACACAUGCAAGUCGAACGGAAAGGCCCUGCUUUUGUGGGGUGCUCGAGUGGCGAACGGGUGAGUAACACGUGAGUAACCUGCCCUUGACUUUGGGAUAACUUCAGGAAACUGGGGCUAAUACCGGAUAGGAGCUCCUGCUGCAUGGUGGGGGUUGGAAAGUUUCGGCGGUUGGGGAUGGACUGGCGGCUUAUCAGCUUGUUGGUGGGGUAGUGGCUUACCAAGGCUUUGACGGGUAGCCGGCCUGAGAGGGUGACCGGCCACAUUGGGACUGAGGUACGGACCAGACUGCUACGGGAGGCAGCAGGGGGGAAUAUUGCAGAAUGGGCGGAAGCCUGAUGCAGCAACGCCGGGUGCGGGAUGACCGCCUUCGGGUUGUAAACCGCUUUCGCCUGUGACGAAGCGUGAGUGACGGUAAUGGGUAAAGAAGCACCGGCUAACUACGUG